UGCCCAACAGCUAGCUCAGACAAACAAACCAAAAUUACCCCCAUCCCUACCCCCUAAGACACCUAAUUCCACCAAACAAAUCAUUUUUCCGCUUUAGUACGGGCGACAGAAAAAGAAUACACGAAGCAAUAGAAAAAGUACCGCAAGGGAAAGCUGAAAGAGAAAUGAAACAACCCAGUAAAGCAUUAAAAAGCAGAGCCCAAACCUCGUACCUUUUGCAUCAGGAUUUAGCCAGCCUUCUCAAGCAAAAAGAAUUUUAGUUUGACUCCCCGAAACCAAGCGAGCUACUCCAAGACAGCCUAACAAAUAGGGCAACCCCGUCUCUGUGGCAAAAGAGUGGGAAGAGCUUUGAGUAGAGGUGACAGACCUACCGAGCUUGGUAAUAGCUGGUUGCCUGGGAAUUGAAUAGAAGUUCAGCCCCUUGUCUUCUUCACUCAUUAAAGGUUUUACCCGCCUCAGACAAAAAGAAGAAAAGGAGGUUAAUCAAAGGGGGUACAGCCCCUUUGAAACAAGAUACAACUUACCACAGCCGGGUAAAGAUCACAAUACUCAAGGCCCGAUAUUUUGGUGGGCUUAAAAGCAGCCAACCACUAGGAAAGCGUUAAAGCUCGAAUAUUAAUAAUGCCACUAAUCCUGAUAAAACAAUCUCAGCCCCCUAAACCUACCAAGCCACUUCAUGCACCCAUGAAGGAGACCAUGCUAAUAUGAGUAAUAAGAAACCUCCUGAGUUUCUCCAGUACACAUGUGUAAAUCGGAACGGACCCACCACCGAAAUUUAACGGCCCCAAACAUAGAGGGAAAUAAAACUCAAACAGAAAACAAGAAAACCACUCAACUUCAGACCGUUAACCUCACACAAGCGUGCCAACAAGGAAAGACAAAAAGAAAAAGAAGGAACUCGGCAAACAAAUUACAAGCCUCGCCUGUUUACCAAAAACAUCGCCUCUUGAAAAUCAAACAUAAGAGGUCCCGCCUGCCCUGUGACCACAAGUUUAACGGCCGCGGUAUUCUGACCGUGCAAAGGUAGCGCAAUCACUUGUCUUUUAAAUGAAGACCUGUAUGAAUGGCAUAACGAGGGCUUAACUGUCUCCUUUUUCUAGUCAAUGAAAUUGAUCUCCCCGUGCAGAAGCGGGGAUAAACCCAUAAGACGAGAAGACCCUGUGGAGCUUUAGACGCCAGAACAGCCCGUGUCAAAUUUACCUCAACCAAGAGAUUGAACUAAUCGGCCCCUGUUCCAAUGUCUUUGGUUGGGGCGACCGCGGGGGAACAAAAAGCCCCCAUGUGGAAGAAGAGUACUAUACUCCUACAACUAAGAGCCACAGCUCUAAUUAACAGAACAUCUGACCUAACAGAUCCGGCAAUGCCGAUCAACGAACCGAGUUACCCCAGGGAUAACAGCGCAAUCCUCUUCCAGAGCCCAUAUCGACAAGAGGGUUUACGACCUCGAUGUUGGAUCAGGACAUCCUAAUGGUGCAGCCGCUAUUAAGGGUUCGUUUGUUCAACGAUUAAAGUCCUACGUGAUCUGAGUUCAGACCGGAGUAAUCCAGGUCAGUUUCUAUCUAUGCAAUGCUCUUUUCUAGUACGAAAGGACCGAAAAGAAGAGACCCCUACUAUAAGCACGUCUCACCCCCACCUAAUGAACCCAACUAAACUAGGCAAGGGGGCAUGCCCCUCCACCAUAGAAAAUGGCAU
rnacentral:rRNA from 1 species